GAUGCACUCACACCUCACACACUAUCUACGGAAAGGAAAACACUCGACAUGGAGAAGAAGCACCACCAGCAGAAGAAAAUAGUGCACCAAUAGCAGACAUCUUUUUCUUAUUUUUUUUUUUGGAUAAUUCGAGAAUCGUUUGCUGGCGCGCGGUGCUUUUCUAAAGACAAUUUUGGUAUCACGAAUUCAAAUUCACGAUGUGUGGAGUAAUCUUGCGCGGGCCAGUGAGAUAGAAAAACUAAACUGCUCACUUUUUUUCUAUUUUAUGUGGAAGAAGAUUCAGAAGAGAGAGACGUGUCGGGGAGUAUUUUUGUGUCGAUAAUGAAAAUGUUUACUGUCAGAAAUGAGUUCAUUCGCAACUGACAUGGAGAUGGACAUGAGUGGAUUCUAUUAAACGGUUUUUGUCUCAGCUACCAGUACUCUUUUUAGUACUUUAUUUUAAAUUGGCGACUACUACUUUUUCUUAGCACUACCUUUGUAUAUGAAAUGGAAUAGUACCUUUGUAUAUGAAAACUAUAGUACUCUCAUGAGCAAAAUUUUUUAGGGCAACAGGAUGCCGACCUAUUGGCGCUAGUAUAGACAGUGGAGACAUUUCAGGGGAGCGAGAGAAAAAUAUUAUUUCCAUUUCCAUAAGCAGCCAGCAGAAUAAGGGAGAUCAUUAUUUUUCCACACAAAAUAUCUACACAAUUUCCUUCAUUCUAUUUGAAACUA